rnacentral:rRNA from 1 species
GUCCAGACUCCUACGGGAGGCAGCAGUCGGGAAUAUUGCGCAAUGGAGGAAACUCUGACGCAGUGACGCCGCGUAUAGGAAGAAGGUUUUCGGAUUGUAAACUAUUGUCGUUAGGGAAGAGAAAGGACAGUACCUAAGGAGGAAGCUCCGGCUAACUACGUGCCAGCAGCCGCGGUAAUACGUAGGGAGCGAGCGUUAUCCGGAAUUAUUGGGUGUAAAGGGUGCGUAGACGGGAAAGCAAGUUAGUUGUGAAAUCCCUCGGCUUAACUGAGGAACUGCAACUAAAACUACUUUUCUUGAGUGCAGGAGAGGUAAGUGGAAUUCCUAGUGUAGCGGUGAAAUGCAUAGAUAUUACACAGAACACCGAUUGCGAAGGCAGCUUGCUAGGCCGGAUCUGACACUGAUGCACGAAAGCGUGGGGAUCGAACAGGAUUAGAUACCCCAGUA